rnacentral:rRNA from 1 species
UACAGAGGUCUCAAGCGUUGUUCGGAUUCAUUGGGCGUAAAGGGUGCGUAGGUGGCGUCGUAAGUCAGGUGUGAAAUCUCGGGGCUUAACUCCGAAACUGCAUUUGAUACUGCGGUGCUUGAGGACUGGAGAGGAGACUGGAAUUUACGGUGUAGCAGUGAAAUGCGUAGAGAUCGUAAGGAAGACCAGUGGCGAAGGCGGGUCUCGUGGACAGUUCCUGACACUGAGGCACGAAGGCCAGGGGAGCAAACGGG